GGAUGUUUAGCUCAGUUGGCUAGAGCAUCUCGUUUACACCGAGAGGGUCGGGGGUUCGAAUCCCUCAACAUCCACCA
rnacentral:tRNA from 1 species